rnacentral:lncRNA from 1 species
AGAAAGAAAAAAAAAAAAAGCAUAUUUGACGUUAGGGGAAAAAAACCCUUUAACGCUGUAAAAGUCUCUCUGGUUAUUUUCACUUUUUGUUUUGGACAAAAAAGAAGGAGAUGAGAGGAACAUUUUUAAAACGCCAUGUAGAUCGCCUCGUGGUUAUUUUUAUUGUUUUAAAGAUAAUAACCAGAACUGCAGGAGGAUCUCUGUGACUCCCGGUCAGCCUGAGGGACAUAGUGAGACUUUGUUUUAAAGAGGUUAGAACCACGUUGGUUCUUGUAUUUGGAAGGUUUGUUUGAGGGCCUGAAGACUGCUAAGCAGCUAAAAGCACUUGCUGUUCUUCCUGAGGGCUGGACUUCUGUUCCCAACAUCCACAAGGCGGCUCACAGCCACCUGAAAUUUCAGUUCCCCCCUCCUGGCCUCCACCGGCCCUGCACAUGCAUGCGCGCAGGCAUGAGGCAAAACACCCGCACAUACAUACAUACUGGGUUAGCAGCAAACUUAAGCAACUUUUCUCGAAGGAAGAGAGACCUGCCCUGGUCAUUUGAGGAAUAGGAUGGAUGCGGUAUUGUGGACUCUGCUCAGGCUGAGCGGCAGGCAGUUAUUAAAUAAGGUGUGGCACCAGGCCUGUGACCCAGAACUUGAGAAGCUGGAGCAGAAGACAGCUGUGACCUCAAAGACCACCGAGGUUACAUAAUGAACUCAGCCUGGACAAGAGGUGACAUACGAUCUGAAACUCUGCUUCUGGUGCUCAUGGUGUGCGCCUGCGGUGAGAG